GUAAUGCAGUUAACACAUUAAGUGUACCGCCUGGGGAGUACGGUCGCAAGAUUAAAACUCAAAGGAAUAGACGGGGACCCGCACAAGCGGUGGAGCAUGUGGUUUAAUUCGACGAUACACGAAGAACCUUACCUGGACUUGACAUAGUAAGAACUUUCUAGAGAUAGAUUGGUGUCUGCUUGCAGAAACUUAUAUACAGGUGCUGCACGGCUGUCGUCAGCUCGUGUCGUGAGAUGUUGGGUUAAGUCCCGCAACGAGCGCAACCCUCGUCAUUAGUUGCUAACAGUUCGGCUGAGAACUCUAAUGAGACUGCCUACGCAAGUAGGAGGAAGGUGAGGACGACGUCAAGUCAUCAUGGCCCUUACGUCCAGGGCUACACACGUGCUACAAUGGGGUAUACAAAGAGCAGCAAUACAGUGAUGUGGAGCAAAUCUCAAAAAUAUCUCCCAGUUCGGAUUGUAGUCUGCAACUCGACUACAUGAAGUUGGAAUCGCUAGUAAUCGUAGAUCAGCUAUGCUACGGUGAAUACGUUCCCGGGUCUUGUACUCACCGCCCGUCACACCAUGGGAGUUGAACUCAUUCGAAGCGGGGAUGCUAAAGUAGCUACCUUCCACAGUGGAUUCAGCGACUGGGGUGAAGUCGUAACAAGGUAACCA
rnacentral:rRNA from 1 species